GAUGAACGCUGGCGGCAUGCCUAAGACAUGCAAGUCGAACGAGGUGGCCCAAAGAAGAUUGAGUGCUUGCACAAGAUUGGACUUGGAUUACCACCUAGUGGCGGACGGGUGAGUAACACGUAGGUGACCUACCUUUGAGUUUGGGAUAACUAUUAGAAAUGAUAGCUAAUACCGAAUUAAAUGCAGAUUCGUUUCUGUAUUAAAAGGAGCCUUUAAAGCUUCGCUUAAAGAUGGGCCUGCGGCGUAUUAGCUAGUUGGUGAGGUAAUGGCUUACCAAGGCGACGAUGCGUAGCCGAACUGAGAGGUUGAUCGGCCACACUGGGACUGAGACACGGCCCAGACUCCU
rnacentral:rRNA from 1 species